ACAAACUUUUGGCCACCAAUAUUUCGCAUCAAACAUCAGCAAAUUCUACAAAUACACAUAUCAGAAAGUUCUUUUAUUCAGUUACAUAACCUAGAAAGGUUAAACCAAGUCAUAGAAGCUCACUUUACAUAAUGAAUAGCAUCCACCGUGUAGUUAUCAAGGGUAUUGUUCUGACUGAGAAUCAGAAAAUCAAGAAUGAUAAGCAUAAUCAACUUUGUAGAUAAGCACCAAUAAUUCCAAGGAACCCAAAACUUCCAAUACCUGAACAAUCCAAACAGCAGCAAAAUAGCAAAUGACCAUUAGUUCAACAAAUGUCAAGUACUGAAAGGCCUAAUUUUGUUGAAAUUUCUGCCAUGGUUAAAUAAAACUUCUAAUUAGAAUAUUUAGAAAAAGUUGGAAUUGUCCAGGAACAGUAAAGUAUGUAUGACACCUAAUAAAUGUAAGGUUUCAGCAGAUAUGUUUUUUUAAUAACAAUUCAGGGUUAUGAUUCAUCAAAUGGAAGGGAGACACAACAAGUUGUAAAACAGUAUCCUAAUUUGGGAACUUGAAUCUGGAACAGGCGAAACCAAGGAAGGAAUCGUCCUACCAGAGAUUCAUCAUGGACUGCCUCUUGCUGCCACCGCUGGAUCAUUUGACCCGAUACCGUCUCCUACUUUCUUCAUCCUAGCAUCCUAGCUACUCCCGAUGUGGGGCGGAGAGCCGGGGAAGGAGGAGGGAGGUGGAAGAGAGAGGAGGAGACGGCGGAGGGGAUUUUUUCACGGCUGUGGAGACGAAGGAGGAGGGAGAUGGGAUGAGACUCGCACGACCCCUCUCUCCGUGUCAGAAGAAACACAACCUUCACAGUCUCACUCCAAUCUAAACAAGGGACAGACGUGUAGGACCAGCAGAAAACAAGCCCCACCUACCAUAGGUUAUGCAGCAGGAGCGAACGUCCACACCAGCCGCAGGACGCAUGUCCCACGCACGGCGCGUGCGGCGCGGCUGGGCAAACCCUCGCACGAUCGACGCAGUGUCAGUGCAGCCCCUCUCUCACGCAGACAAAAGGUAGUCAACCCACAGAUGUGUGGGGCCAGAAAUGAGUAAGGACCACCCAAUAGUCAGAGAAAUAGACAUCCAUCGGCAUCCUCACAGCAGAAACAAACAACCCAAUGCCCGGCGCCAAACGCGCGACGUGCACGCCGCGCGCAAGAACAGGCUUCUCCCGCACUUCCAAACGGCUCACCCAGCCAGUAGACAAAAAGCACGAGCCCACCAGUCAUUCGCCCCCGAAAAACAACAGCGAGGUCAAAACGCACAAUGUAGAUCUCUGGGCCAGAAGUUCAAAGAAAUAUUAAAUUCCUUAAUGGCACGGACACACUGCACAUAACCUUCAUAACAGAUGGAGUAUUAACGGAUCGAAGCAUUGUAACAAUACCAAGUGGUCAUCAACUUAAGGUUGUUUUUACUGAGCAUUAUAUGCUUUCGUAUUAAGAAUGCUUUCGAUGAACAACAUGACGGGGAGGCACCUCGCUACUGGUUGUACUGAGCUUUUGACAAAUAGGGCGACAGGGAGGCAUGGUGCUACUGAUAGGAUAUAAGCAAUGGGAGGCCCAUUGGCAAGAAUCGCAUAGCACACUGUAGAAGAAAAAUAACCAGAGGAGACUAACUGAAGAAACCUUGACAAUGAAAAAAUAACUGCUGCAACAAAUGAAACAUUUCUAAUCAUUCCAAGUGUGGGCCUGUUUAUAUGAGCAAGAAGGAUCAGUAAAGGAAACAGCAGGUCAAGAAACAAAACCAAAAAAACUAUAGGACUGGUUAGACCUCAGGUAUAGAAUGAAAAUCCAUACUUCCAAGAACAAGAGGCUAAUAUACUUUAAGAAAAAUGAUAGUGAAACCAUGCAUUCACAAAGAAAUGGUAUGAUAGCAACUCUAUACAACCUGAUUAACUAUUUCCCUCCUAUCAAGCUACAAUUCUUAACAUGGCACAAUGGAGGAACACGACACAUUCAGGCAUCCAAUAGCUCCAAAGUCCGCGCAGAAUUAUAAUUAUAGACUGGAGGCUACCGAUUGUCAAAUUCUUUAUUAUUUUUCCAUGGCCUGUGAAAAUCUAUUGUAGUGUAGUGUCACAUUGUUGGUACAUAAAAGGAUGCUGCAAUAAUGAGAAGAGAAAUAUAUUAUAGGACUGCUAGAUGGAUAAAUCUUGAUUUGAAAUGUUAGUAGCGAAUUCAUUCUUUUGCUCAUGAUGUGAUUUCUUUUGCUAGGAUGAAUUAAUCCUGGGUAGAAUAGCAGAUGUGUGCAAGUUUGCCUAUAAUAAAUUAGUCCUGAACCAGCAGUCCAGCAAUGUAUAUAUAUAUAUAUAUAUAUAUAUAUAUAUAUUCUCAGGCAUUUUCAACAAGCAGAAGCACUUGUGAGCAUCUACAAUGAGGAGGUGACCAGUACACGAGCAAGUGGAUACCACAGCAGGAGGUGUAGACAGAUGAACAUAAUAUUUAGAUCGACCUGACCAUAACAAACUUUUGGCCACCAAUAUUUCACAUCGAACAUCUAUAAAUUCUACAAAUACACAUAUCAGAAAGUUCCUUUAUUCAGUUACAUAAUCUAGAAAGGUUAAACCAAGUCAUCGAAGCUCACCUUACAUAAUGAAUAGCAUCCACCGUGUAGUUAUCUAGGGUAUUGUUCGACUGAGAAUCAGAAAAUCUAGAAUGAUAAGCAUAAUCAACUUUGUAGAUAAGCACCAAUAAUUCCGAGGAACCCAAAACUUCCAAUACCUGGACAAUCCAAACAGCAGCAAAAUAGCAAAUGACCAUUAGUUCAGCAAAUGUCAAGUACUGAAAGGCCUAAUUUUGUUGAAAUUUCUGCCAUGAUUAAAUAAAACUUCUAAUUAGAAUAUUUAGCAAAAGUUGGAAUUGUCCAGGAACAGUAAAGUAUGUAUGACAUCUAAUAAAUGUAAGGUUUCAGCAGAUAUGUUUUUUUAAUAACAAUUCAGGGUUAUGAUUCAUCAAAUGGAAGGGAGACACAACAAGUUGUAAAACAAUAUCCUAAUUUGGGAACUUGAAUGUGGAACAGGCGAAACCAAGGAAGGAAUCGUCCUACCAUAGAUUCAUCAUGGACUGCCUCUUGCUGCCACCGCUGGAUCAUUUGACCCGAUACCGUCUCCUACUUUCUUCAUCCUAGCAUCCUAGCUACUCCCGAUGUGGGGCGGAGAGCCGGGGAAGGAGGAGGGAGGUGAAAGAGAGAGGAGGAGACGGCGGAGGGGAUUUUUUCACGGCUGGGGAGACGAAGGAGGAGGGAGAUGGGAUGAGACUUGCACGACCCCUCUCUCCGUGUCAGAAGAAACACAACCUUCACAGUCUCACUCCAACCUAAACAAGGGACAUACGUGUAGGACCAGCAGAAAACAAGCCCCACCUACCAUAGGCUAUGCAGCACGAGCGAACAUCCACACCAG
rnacentral:lncRNA from 1 species